GAGGGUACAGCUCAGUGGUAGAGCACAUGCUUAGCAUGCACGAAGUCCUGGGUUCAAUCCCCAGUACCUUCA
rnacentral:tRNA from 1 species